rnacentral:tmRNA from 1 species
GGGGACGACCGGUAUUGACAGCGGGUUGAGGUUGCAGGUGUAAGCAUGCCGGGAGUUGGAAGGAUCUCCUGUCAAAAAUUCUUCUAAACAAUAGCUGGCAAUUAUAGCUACGCUAUGGCUGCUUAAUCCGGAGUGAUUAAUCAUUAGCCAUCGUUCCGCCGGACCGUCACCUUACCGGGCCGGAGCACGGAGCGUCGAAAAGGUAGGGUCGGAUGAGUGGAUUCCGCUAGACUCGUCUCGUACCUGCGGAUACGGAACAGGAUCGGUUUGUUGCCGACCUGUCUUAUUCCCGACAACCGAAAGGCAACUAAGCAUGUAGAAGACUUGUGGCGUCCCUGUUCUGGACGAGGGUUCGAAUCCCUCCGUCUCCACAA